rnacentral:rRNA from 1 species
GACCUGGCUGGGUGGUCUUGCCGAAAGGUAAGCACUGCCCCGGUCGGGUCUUUCCUUCUGGGGAACCACCGUGCCCUUAACUGGGUGCGAUGGGGAUCCAGGACUUUUACUUUGAAAAAAUUAGAGUGUUUAAAGCAGGCUUUCAAGCUUGAACAUAUUAGCAUGGAAUAAUGAAAUAGG